UACGUAGGGGACAAGCGUUGUCCGGAAUUAUUGGGCGUAAAGAGCGUGUAGGCGGCCAGGUAGGUCUGGUGUGAAAACUCGAGGCUUAACCUCGAGAUGUCAUCGGAAACCAUCUGGCUAGAGUCCGGAAGAGGAGAGUGGAAUUCCCAGUGUAGCGGUGAAAUGCGCAGAUAUUGGGAAGAACACCAGUGGCGAAGGCGGUUCUCUGGGACGGUACUGACGCUGAGACGCGAAAGCGUGGGGAGCGAACAGG
rnacentral:rRNA from 1 species